GAUGAACGCUGGCGGCGUGCCUAAUACAUGCCAGUCGAGCGAACGGACGAGAAGCUUGCUUUUCUGAUGUUAGCGGCGGACGGGUGAGUAACACGUGGAUAACCUACCUAUAAGACUGGGAUAACUUCGGGAAACCGGAGCUAAUACCGGAUAAUAUUUUGAACCGCAUGGUUCAAAAGUGAAAGACGGUCUUGCUGUCACUUAUAGAUGGAUCCGCGCUGCAUUAGCUAGUUGGUAAGGUAACGGCUUACCAAGGCAACGAUGCAUAGCCGACCUGAGAGGGUGAUCGGCCUCACUGGAACUGAGACACGGUCCAGACUCCUACGGGAGGCAGCAGUAGGGAAUCUUCCGCAAUGGGCGAAAGCCUGACGGAGCAACGCCGCGUGAGUGAUGAAGGUCUUCGGAUCGUAAAACUCUGUUAUUAGGGAAGAACAUAUGUGUAAGUAACUGUGCACAUCUUGACGGUACCUAAUCAGAAAGCCACGGCUAACUACGUG
rnacentral:rRNA from 1 species